GAUGAACGCUGGCGGCGUGCCUAAUACAUGCAAGUCGAGCGAACGGACGAGAAGCUUGCUUCUCUGAUGUUAGCGGCGGACGGGUGAGUAACACGUGGAUAACCUACCUAUAAGACUGGGAUAACUUCGGGAAACCGGAGCUAAUACCGGAUGAUAUUUUGAACCGCAUGGUUCAAAAGUGAAAGACGGUCUUGCUGCCACUUAUAGAUGGAUCCGCGCUGCAUUAGCUAGUUGGUAAGGUAACGGCUUACCAAGGCAACGAUGCAUAGCCGACCUGAGAGGGUGAUCGGCCACACUGGAACUGAGACACGGUCCAGACUCCUACGGGAGGCAGCAGUAGGGAAUCUUCCGCAAUGGGCGAAAGCCUGACGGAGCAACGCCGCGUGAGUGAUGAAGGUCUUCGGAUCGUAAAACUCUGUUAUUAGGGAAGAACAUAUGUGUAAGUAACUGUGCACAUCUUGACGGUACCUAAUCAGAAAGCCACGGCUAACUACGUGCCAGCAGCCGCGGUAAUACGUAGGUGGCAAGCGUUAUCCGGAAUUAUUGGGCGUAAAGCGCGCGUAGGCGGUUUUUUAAGUCUGAUGUGAAAGCCCACGGCUCAACCGUGGAGGGUCAUUGGAAACUGGAAAGCUUGAGUGCAGAAGAGGAAAGUGGAAUUCCAUGUGUAGCGGUGAAAUGCGCAGAGAUAUGGAGGAACACCAGUGGCGAAGGCGACUUUCUGGUCUGUAACUGACGCUGAUGUGCGAAAGCGUGGGGAUCAAACAGGAUUAGAUACCCUGGUAGUCCACGCCGUAAACGAUGAGUGCUAAGUGUUAGGGGGUUUCCGCCCCUUAGCGCUGCAGCUAACGCAUUAAGCACUCCGCCUGGGGAGUACGACCGCAAGGUUGAAACUCAAAGGAAUUGACGGGGACCCGCACAAGCGGUGGAGCAUGUGGUUUAAUUCGAAGCAACGCGAAGAACCUUACCAAAUCUUGACAUCCUUUGACAACUCUAGAGAUAGAGCCUUCCCCUUCGGGGGACAAAGUGACAGGUGGUGCAUGGUUGUCGUCAGCUCGUGUCGUGAGAUGUUGGGUUAAGUCCCGCAACGAGCGCAACCCUUAAGCUUAGUUGCCAUCAUUAAGUUGGGCACUCUAAGUUGACUGCCGGUGACAAACCGGAGGAAGGUGGGGAUGACGUCAAAUCAUCAUGCCCCUUAUGAUUUGGGCUACACACGUGCUACAAUGGACAAUACAAAGGGCAGCGAAACCGCGAGGUCAAGCAAAUCCCAUAAAGUUGUUCUCAGUUCGGAUUGUAGUCUGCAACUCGACUACAUGAAGCUGGAAUCGCUAGUAAUCGUAGAUCAGCAUGCUACGGUGAAUACGUUCCCGGGUCU
rnacentral:rRNA from 1 species